AAAGAAUAAGGAAAGUCGUAAGAGUCAAACGCUCUUGCACACAGCGGGUUCAAAAAGUUUUGCAAGAAUUCGCAGAGAUAUGGAAAAGGAAUUGAACCGGCCUCCAACAGAUGCAGAAGUGUUUCUAGAGACUCGUAAAAA